rnacentral:lncRNA from 1 species
GGAGGAUAUAUCAUUUAGUCCUUAAACCUAGAUCAUGACUAAAUGAUAUGCUAUUAUUAGGACAAUAGCUAUAUCAAGUAUAGGUCAUUGUAUGCUAUAUGUAUUGGUUAUCCUCUUAACCAAAGAGUAUGGAGACACUAGUAUGGCAUGCAAGAGAGACAUAAGAAUACAUCUCACUGAAUGUGAUCAACUGUGAAGUACUUUGCUAUCAAGAAUAGCUUAUGAAGGAUAUGAAAAUAAGUAUCCCUCUGACC